rnacentral:rRNA from 1 species
UGUGCCAGCCGCCGCGGUAAUACGUAGGGUGCGAGCGUUGUCCGGAAUUAUUGGGCGUAAAGAGCUUGUAGGCGGUUUGUCGCGUCUGCUGUGAAAGCCCGGGGCUUAACCCCGGGUCUGCAGUGGGUACGGGCAGGCUAGAGUGUGGUAGGGGAGACUGGAAUUCCUGGUCGUAGCGGUGGAAUGCGCAGAUAUCAGGAGGAACACCGAUGGCGAAGGCAGGUCUCUGGGCCACUACUGACGCUGAGAAGCGAAAGCGUGGGGAGCGAAC